UUUGAACCCAGGAGGUGGAGGUUACAGUGAGCCGAGACUGCGCCAUUGCACUCCAGCCUGGGCGACAGAGUGAGACUCCGUCUCAAAAAAAAAAAAAAGAACCAAGGAGCAGUUCCUAGUGGUCUAGCCCAGCGAUUUCCCUUCUGGAAGUUUGUGAUGACGCGGGAGGAGCUGGACGCAGAAGGACCAGCGAAGAGGCUCAUGACUGCGUGAUGUAGGCAGUGGGAACUCGAACAGGAGAAUGGCUGUCAGCGGCUUGCGGCCUGGUGGUGCCUGUUUUACCCCACAUUCCCUCCCGGAGGACCCUGAAGGGCGUGGGGACUGUCUGAGAUGAUCAAGCCCUUUGUGUGAGGGCGAGGGGUACGGAGCCUUUCGCUCAGAGCGCAAACGUGCGUGGUGCCUCAGUGUAGCUCUCCUCAGACACACACGGCAUUUUUCCUAUACCACAACGUUCCCUCCCAUUCUAACAUCGGAAUCCAAACUGCGCCUUCACGCACGGGCAUCUCCAUUCCCUGGCAGCGAUUGUCUUUGGUUUUGCAAGAGCCCCGGCCCAUGCCACUCACCGCGGAGCAGCUCCAGCAGGCUGCCCUUGGCCAUGAGCUCCGUGAUGAUGUACACGGGGUCCCCCACGGACACCACGGCGUACAGCGCCAGGAUGUGUUUGUGCCGCAGCUUCUUCAUGGCCUGGAUCUCCGACUGCAGCAUCUGCUGGUGCAGGAGGUUGUCUGCGGGGACGGGUGGCCUCGGUGGAUGCAGCCCCUGACCCCCCAGGCCCCAAGGAAGAGGCCA
rnacentral:lncRNA from 1 species